GAUGAGACGAGGUAGAUGAUGA
rnacentral:siRNA from 1 species